CAUUGUGGGUGCAUUGGCUGUUGAUCCCAUCAGAACUCCACAAUUAAAUGCGCUCAAGCGUGAGUAGUACUACAAUGGGUUAUCUCUUAGGAAGUCUCCAUCAGGGC
rfam:Helianthus annuus linkage group 8, whole genome shotgun sequence.